GACGAACGCUGGCGGCGUGCUUAACACAUGCAAGUCGAACGAUGAACCCGGAGCUUGCUCUGGGGGAUUAGUGGCGAACGGAUGAGUAACACGUGAGUAACCUGCCCUGGACUCUGGGAUAAGCGUUGGAAACGACGUCUAAUACCGGAUAGGACCUUGGAUCGCAUGAUCUGGGGUGGAAAGUUUUUUCGGUCUGGGAUGGACUCGCGGCCUAUCAGCUUGUUGGUGAGGUAAUGGCUCACCAAGGCGUCGACGGGUAGCCGGCCUGAGAGGGUGACCGGCCACACUGGGACUGAGACACGGCCCAGACUCCUACGGGAGGCAGCAGUGGGGAAUAUUGCACAAUGGGCGAAAGCCUGAUGCAGCAACGCCGCGUGCGGGAUGACGGCCUUCGGGUUGUAAACCGCUUUUAGUAGGGAAGAAGGGCUUCGGCUUGACGGUACCUGCAGAAAAAGGACCGGCUAACUACGUG
rnacentral:rRNA from 1 species